GUCUGUUUUGCCCUGCUUGGCUGCACCUCUUCCCCCCCAAAUGUCUUGUGCUCAGGUACAGGUGGCAAAUUCUGGGUGGCUUUUUUCAAACUGGGAAGCCAGAUGGAACAGGAUUUGAAUAUGGUAAUUAGUUUCAAGAUGUGAAACCUACCAUUUUCUAGGAAGGAUGCUAAAGCUGCACCUUAGGGAUGGUCUUUGCAUUCCAGCUGGACGCUGCCAGGAACCAAUCAGGAAGGGUUGUUCGGUCUCAAGGUUAAGAGCUUGGCCUGGUUCAGACUCUGAUCUCGGCCUGUGUCCAUCCUUCCCCCUUGUGGAACCAGGACAAGGGCAACCUACUUGAGAUUGCAUUACAAAAACAUUUGCUGCAAUUUAAGCUGCCAGGGAUUGAUAGCUCACAUCCUUGAAAGGUGAACCUGCUGUUAAUUCCAAACAUUGAAAGAAAUGUGCCCUGGUUUUCUUGAGGCUAGCGGGAGAGUGAAAUAAUGCCACAAAGAGCUGCCUUAAAAGUCGAAGCUGCCAAUAAAAGCUGAGUGUUCCUAUCCCUUCCA